rnacentral:lncRNA from 1 species
UUCCAACUGAAACCAUGUGGAACGAAGCUUCAAACCGAAAGAGAUCAACAAUAUUUGAAGGUGCAGCGGAAAUGUAUGAAUGAUGGAGAGUUUGAAGUGUUUAUGGUGAAGAGAGGUGUAUGUGUGAACCCUCACAGCUCAGAAGGCCUUCCUACAAAGGAAGGAAGCUAGAGGAAUGNGAGAAAAAGUCNAAACUUNAGAGAGACUNAAGAGCAAAGAGGCUGGAAAUCAAAUUNUGCAGCAUUUCACUAAGCUCAAAAGUGGUUUCUACAAGAUGUUGGCCNUCCUAUUUAUAGAUGAUGANGANCAUUUAAUCUGACCCAUUUCCCCCCAAAACCAAAUACAUUUCGGUUAGAAGCAGCUUGCACAUGGAGGAGCAGAUCCCACNCUUGGAAGAGGCAAUUCUCAUGCUGCAAUCCACGUCAUUUUUCCAAUCCGUGAGUCAACCAUGUNCNUUCUUCUUGGGGNAACUCCAUAUUUGAUAAAUUCACCCCCUCNCUUUGUNGGAAUGUCUCUUUUACCCUUCUCCUUAGGUUGGGUUGUUGGACUUUAGUUAUUGGUCUU